rnacentral:rRNA from 1 species
UACGGAGGGUGCAAGCGUUAAUCGGAAUUACUGGGCGUAAAGCGUGCGUAGGCGGUUCGUUAAGUCUGUUGUGAAAGCCCCGGGCUCAACCUGGGAAUGGCAAUGGAUACUGCGAGCUAGAGUGUGUCAGAGGAUGGUGGAAUUCCCGGUGUAGCGGUGAAAUGCGUAGAGAUCGGGAGGAACAUCAGUGGCGGAAGGCGGCCAUCUGGGACAACACUGACGCUGAGGCACGAAAGCGUGGGGAGCAA